UGAAGCUCCAGCUUGCUGGGGUGGAUGAGUGGCGAACGGGUGAGUAACACGUGAGUAACCUUCCCUUGACUCUGGGAUAAGCCCGGGAAACUGGGUCUAAUACCGGAUAUGACCUCCUGUCGCAUGGUGGGGGGUGGAAAGAUUUAUCGGUCUUGGAUGGACUCGCGGCCUAUCAGCUUGUUGGUGAGGUAAUGGCUCACCAAGGCGACGACGGGUAGCCGGCCUGAGAGGGUGACCGGCCACACUGGGACUGAGACACGGCCCAGACUCCUACGGGAGGCAGCAGUGGGGAAUAUUGCACAAUGGGCGCAAGCCUGAUGCAGCGACGCCGCGUGAGGGAUGACGGCCUUCGGGUUGUAAACCUCUUUCAGUAGGGAAGAAGCCUUCGGGUGACGGUACCUGCAGAAGAAGCGCCGGCUAACUACGUGCCAGCAGCCGCGGUAAUACGUAGGGCGCGAGCGUUAUCCGGAAUUAUUGGGCGUAAAGAGCUCGUAGGCGGUUUGUCGCGUCUGCCGUGAAAGUCCGGGGCUUAACCCCGGAUCUGCGGUGGGUACGGGCAGACUAGAGUGCAGUAGGGGAGACCGGAAUUCCUGGUGUAGCGGUGAAAUGCGCAGAUAUCAGGAGGAACACCGAUGGCGAAGGCAGGUCUCUGGGCUGUUACUGACGCUGAGGAGCGAAAGCAUGGGGAGCGAACAGGAUUAGAUACCCUGGUAGUCCAUGCCGUAAACGUUGGGCACUAGGUGUGGGGGACAUUCCACGUUUUCCGCGCCGCAGCUAACGCAUUAAGUGCCCCGCCUGGGGAGUACGGCCGCAAGGCUAAAACUCAAAGGAAUUGACGGGGGCCCGCACAAGCGGCGGAGCAUGCGGAUUAAUUCGAUGCAACGCGA
rnacentral:rRNA from 1 species